rnacentral:rRNA from 1 species
UACAGAGGUCUCAAGCGUUGCUCGGAAUCACUGGGCGUAAAGCGCACGUAGGCGGCUUCUUAAGUCAGGGGUGAAAUCCUGGAGCUCAACUCCAGAACUGCCCUUGAUACUGAGGAGCUCGAGUCCGGAAGAGGUGAGUGGAACUGCGAGUGUAGAGGUGAAAUUCGUAGAUAUUCGCAAGAACACCAGUGGCGAAGGCGGCUCACUGGUCCGGUACUGACGCUGAGGUGCGAAAGCGUGGGGAGCAAACAGG